rnacentral:rRNA from 1 species
UACAGAGGGUGCAAGCGUUAAUCGGAAUUACUGGGCGUAAAGAGCGCGUAGGCGGUUGGACAAGUCGGGUGUGAAAGCCCCGGGCUUAACCUGGGAAUUGCAUUCGAUACUGUCUGGCUAGAGUAUGGUAGAGGGAAGGGGAAUUCCACAUGUAGCGGUGAAAUGCGUAGAUAUGUGGAGGAACAUCAGUGGCGAAGGCGCCUUCCUGGACCAAUACUGACGCUGAGGGGCGAAAGCGUGGGGAUCAAAC